UGGGGAAUAUUGGACAAUGGGGGGAACCCUGAUCCAGCCAUGCCGCGUGUGUGAAGAAGGCCUUAUGGUUGUAAAGCACUUUAAGCGAGGAGGAGGGUACUGGUAUUAAUACUACCAGGUACUGGACGUUACUCGCAGAAUAAGCACCGGCUAACUCUGUGCCAGCAGCCGCGGUAAUACAGAGGGUGCGAGCGUUAAUCGGAUUUACUGGGCGUAAAGCGUGCGUAGGCGGCUAAUUGAGUCGGAUGUGAAGUCCCCGAGCUUAACUUGGGAAUUGCAUUCGAUACUGGUUAGCUAGAGUGUGGGAGAGGAUGGUAGAAUUCCAGGUGUAGCGGUGAAAUGCGUAGAGAUCUGGAGGAAUACCGAUGGCGAAGGCAGCCAUCUGGCCUAACACUGACGCUGAGGUACGAAAGCAUGGGGAGCAAACAGG
rnacentral:rRNA from 1 species